UAUAUAUAUAUAUAUAUAUAUAUAUAUAUCUUUUCUUUUUUUCAUCUCUUUUAUUUUCUAGCCAAAUGAACUUAAGAGAGAGAGAGAGAGAGAGUGAGAAGGGAGGUUCGGCCACUUCAUGGUGAAGAGGGAGGGGAGAUUUUGGCUCUCAUGAAACCAAGAUCCAUCCAUGGAAGGAAGAAAGAAGAAGAAGGUUUAGCAAGGAAAUCAAGUUAAGGUAUAACAAAAAUUUCUUCUUAUGUAGUUUAUUUUCCUUGGUAGUUUGAUUUGAUUUUUGAUAACUUGAAGUUGUGAUCUUGAGGUUUAAAACCUUAGAUCUAUGUAUAUAUAAGUGUNN
rnacentral:lncRNA from 1 species